UUGGCAACCCGGCUGCCAGCGCGCAUCUACUAUCUGCAACCUCUAGCUACACACACCUACAAGAGGGAUUUGGAGCAGGUGACAGCUCCAACGAUGAGUAUGAUUAUUGCCGUAAGUAGGGAAAAAAUCCAAAACACAAAUACGAUAUACACGUUGUUCUGAAUUCUAUAAUUUCAAAAUCAGAUAAAAACCUGUUAUUUUCAUUUUCACAGUGUCUGUAGCUUAAUAAGGUAUUUAGAGUGCAAAAAACUAUAAUUGUACAUAAAAAUAAUCUAUUAACAUUAAUGUUAGGUACCUGGACAGUGAAGUGAAUUUCGUCUUUCUAACCAUAAAUUCCCAACCUUUGCAAACUCUACAACUACGGUAAGCAAUGAAGCAUUGAAUUUCUAGCAUCAAAUAUUUAUUGGAAUUACAUCAUUAAUUAGGUAUUCGGCCUACGAAUUCGCUGAAGACAGGCCAGCACACUUAGGGGACUAAACGAGAAUUAUAAUCUGCCGCUGAAAUACACCCAGUUACCGUGUUUAAUUUGCGGUGAUUAUAGUCACGGAAAUCUCCCCAUCAGUUCCGUUGGCACAGCUGCCAACAUCUUAUAAUUCUCGUUUAUUGGUGAUUCAGUGAUGUCGAACCGUAGUGAGUUAGAUAAAGGUGAGAAAGGCGGAAGGAAGAAUAAGGUAGCGAAAUCUAAAUCAAGCCGUAAUGAAGUGAACGAGUGCACAGAGAACAGUGGUCCAGUAGUGGUGGUUACGGACGAGUCUGAUCCGCCGAAUGUGUCAGCAAUCAAUAAAACCUUGCCAGGUCGUUCAUGCAAGUCCUGUCGAGGUCCUGAUGCCGGAGGAAUGGUGCAAUGCGACGAAUGCAGUAAAUGGCAUCAUUUCACCUGUGUUGGAGUAACGGAAGAUGUUGAGAACCACAGCUGGAGUUGCCCUAAAUGCGUUUCUGCCAAAUGGGUCCAGCGAGAAAACUCUACAUCGAGCAAACACCUCCAACCAAGCGAUGCGAGUCAACGGGAACCAGACCAGGCAGUAAAUCCUGACCACGAACGAGAUUUGGCUAGGGAUGGAGAAUCAGAUAGAGUUCUUCAGAAAGUGCCCAGCAUCGUAAAGUCCACGUCAUCUAAGAGGUCAUCAAGAACGCUUCUCAAACUGCAGAUGGAAAAACUGGAAGAAGAACAUAGGCUAGAGCGCGAGUAUCUGGACCGAAAAUACGCCCUUCUGCAAGAGAUGGCUAGCGAGGAUGGUUCAUCGUAUACUUCCAGUGUCUCGUCCAGCAUGAAUCGAGUUCGGGACUGGGUGAAAUCCAAUAAUCAAAAGGAGGAUGACCCGAUCAACCAGGUUCCGUUUGAACCUCAACGAAACUCCACCCAUUAUCUACAGUCAGUGCGCCCGGAAAAUCCUGACCGACUGUCGGCAGGCAUUGAUCAGCUUUCAAUUGGACGUACAUUUUCGGUCGGAGGAGGAAUCCCGAAUCACCUACAUUCAGCCGGACCCGUAACAUCAGUUAACUUCCGUGAAGACGUACAACUGCAACCAAAGUCAACGAUGCGAUCUUCUGUACCAGUUGUUCCGAGCUACUAUCAGCAACCGUCAGCGCCCCGUUAUCACCCAUCAGCAGCUCUGCUCCCCGGAACAAGUACGCAGCGUGGGGAGUUUUUGAGAGAGCCUACCGUUGUGCAGCACGACCAUUCUCGCCACGUAGAGGACUUUGACGAUCCUUGCCCGAUUACCGCAAAACAAAUAGCCGCCCGACAGGCUAUCUCAAAAGAGUUGCCAGCAUUUUCAGGGAAACCAGAUGAAUGGCCAAUUUUCUUUUCUGCAUUUUCGAACACUACGGCGAUGUGCGGUUUCACCGAUGGGGAAAACACGACUAGAUUACAAAAAUGCCUCACCGGUAAAGCGUAUGACUCCGUGAAAAGUCUUCUAAUGCAUCCAUCCAAUGUGAAGAGAGUUAUUGCUACAUUGCGAAUGCGGUUCGGACAACCAGAAGCCAUAGUACAAUCCCUCAUUGAGAGAAUAAAUACAUUGCCAACUCUAAGAGAGGAUAAGUUGGAAACUAUCAUGGAUUUCGCAGUAGAGGUGCAAAACUUCUGCUCUAUUGUAGACGCUUGUGGCCUUGAAGAACAUAUGUACAAUGUGGCAAUGCUUCACCAGCUCGUCAGUAAACUUCCACCAUCGAUCAAGCUGGACUGGGCUAGGCACCGCCAAAUGUUCUCGAAAAUCAACUUGGCAACCUUCGGGAAUUGGAUGUAUUCCUUGGCGGAAGCAGCCAGCUCUGUAACCAUCCCUGGAUCAAGCCCCGGAUCCCAAGAACCCAAGACUGUACGAGGUGAACCCCGUCUCCAGAAAAAAGGAUCCGGCUUUCUGAACGCGCAUCUAGAAACGGAAUCAACUGCUGCUCGAGAAACAAGUGAGCUUCAGAAGAACACCAAAGGUGGAUGUCUCGUAUGCAAAGCCUGCUGUGACAGUGUCGUCGAUUGUAAACAAUUCCUAGAAUUGUCUCGGGGUUCUCGAUGGGCCGUUGUGAGAGAAUUUGGUCUCUGUCGACGCUGUCUACUGAAGCACAAUGGCAGUUGUGAUGCGAAAGCUUGCGGAAAGGAUGGAUGCACGUUUAAGCAUCAUGCACUUCUUCACAAAGAACAGAGCGGCAAGCAUGAAACGACUCCCUCAGAAUCGACCGGCAACCCAGAUUCUGCUCAUCACGGAUGUAAUACACACCGCUCCCAUUCCAGCUCAGCGUUGUUCCGCUAUAUUCCAGUGAUUGUCUAUGGAGAGAAAUCAUCUGUACACACCUUUGCAUUUCUUGACGAUGGGUCGGAGUUAACACUUCUGGACAACGAUCUAGCUAACGAGCUAGGGCUUACAGGAUCAGAAGUUCCACUGAAUCUGCGCUGGACUGGUGGGACUGAGCGAUGUGAAAAGGAAUCUCGCAUAACACGUCUUGCAAUCACUGGUGUGCAAGAUAGAGCGAAGCAGUUUACACUAGAUGAAGUGCGAACGGUGAAGGAGCUCCAGUUACCUCAUCAGUCUUUGGACAUGGACGAAAUGAAAGAACGGUACCCACAUCUUCGAGGGCUACCCAUCAAAUCAUACGAAAGGGUGCGCCCCAGGAUUCUGAUUGGCAUGAAACACGUUCACGUCAGCCUGGUACUUCAAAGUCGCGAAGGAAAACCGGAGCAACCAAUUGCUACCAAAACAAGGCUCGGUUGGACUGUGUGCGGCGCAAGCUACGAAAACAGAGGAUCAAGUAUGGUACACUAUACCUUCCAUAUUGGGACUACUGCAACUUCUGACGAGGAUUUACACCAAGCAAUGAAGGAGUACUUUUCCCUGGAUAGUAUGGGUGUAGUGAAAUCUAAUCAAUCUCUACUUUCAUCUGAAGAUCAAAGAGCGUAUUCGCUACUGGAAGCUCGUACCAUUCGUAAAGGCAACAGAUAUGAGACUGGUUUGUUAUGGCGCUUCGAUAAUAGCCGUCUUCCGAACAGCCGGUCAAUGGCUCUACAUCGACAUCAACUUUUAGAAAAACGUAUGCAGAAGGAUCCUCAGCUAGCGGCAGCACUGAACCAGAAGAUAGCUGACUAUCGACAGAAAGGUUACAUACGAAAGCUACAAAAAGAUGAAGAAAGCAAAUCACUUCAGCGUUCUUGGUAUCUCCCCGUUUUUCCGGUAGUUAACCCAAACAAGCCUGGUAAAAUACGGAUAGUCUGGGAUGCAGCUGCUACUACCUAUGGAGUCUCUUUGAACUCAGCCCUUCUGAAAGGACCCGAUCAGCUGUGUUCGCUUUUUUCAAUCCUAGUUCAGUUCAGGAAGCAUCGAAUUGGAAUAACUGGUGACAUUUCCGAGAUGUUUCAUCAGGUUCAGAUAAGAGAGGAAGACAGACCAUGCCAGCGUUUCUUUUGGAAUGAAGAUGGAACUACCGCAGUCUAUGAAAUGUGCGUCAUGACAUUUGGGGCAUGCUGUUCUCCUAGUAGUGCCCAGUAUGUAAAAAACUUGAAUGCUGAAAGGUUCUCCGGACAAUAUCCUGAAGCAGUCGAUACAAUUACGAAGAAACACUACGUGGAUGACAUGCUAGAUAGCGUAGAAUCAGAAGAAGAAGCUAUCCAACUAGCACAGAAUGUGAAAUAUGUGCACAGUCAGGGCGGUUUUGAGAUCCGCAAUUGGAUAUCCAACUCGGAGAAGGUCAUGGCCGUAUUAGGUGGAAGUGAAACGUCAACGAAGUGUUUGAACCUGUGCGCUGAAAUGUCGAUGGAGAAGGUGCUGGGCUUAUGGUGGUGUACAGAAUCAGACGCCUUCACAUAUAAGGUUGGAUGGAACCGAUACGACGAAGCUCUACUGGGAGGACAAAGACGACCCACGAAACGUGAAGUUCUGCGAGUGCUAAUGACGAUUUUUGAUCCAUUGGGCCUUAUUGCUCAUUUUCUGAUAUACCUUAAGGUAUUGCUCCAAGAAAUAUGGCGCUCCGGUAUUCAAUGGGACGAUGAAAUCGACGACAACUUGUUGGAAAAAUGGAAGCUCUGGCUCCGAGUUCUACCAGAAGUGGAAAAAGUUCAAAUUCCUCGCUGCUACCGUACACAAGUGAACUAUGAGUGUGAUGUGCAACUUCAUACGUUUGUCGACGCCAGCGAGAAUAGUUUUGCUGCUGUAUCAUUUCUCCGGUUCGCGAGCGAAAGUCGGGUAGAAUGCAUCAUUGUCGCUUCCAAAACUCGUGUUGCGCCGUUGAAGUUUCAAUCCAUACCUAGACUUGAGCUGCAGGCUGCUGUUCUGGGAAUCAGACUGGCGCAGAGUAUUGCCGAAUCCUUAUCCAUUCGUUUCACCAAGCGAUGUUUUUGGACCGAUUCUCAAGAUGUGCUUUGCUGGAUAAAUUCAGACCACCGUCGUUACUCCCAAUUCGUGGCCCAUCGUGUUAGCGAAAUUCUCGAUAUAACGGAGAGUACUGACUGGUUUUGGGUGCCAACAAAACUGAAUGUAGCUGACGACGCCACGAAAUGGAUCACGCAACCGGACUUGUCUAACGAGAGUAGAUGGUUCAAGGGACCUAGCUUCCUAUGUAAAUCAGAAGAAGAAUGGCCGGCGCAACCACCAAGGAACAAUACAACUGCUGCAGAGGUUCGUGCAAACUUGGUCGGUCACCUGUCAGCAUCACGUCCAUUGAUAGUUUUCGAGAACUUCUCGUCUUGGAAAAGAUUAGCUCGCGUAGUUGGAUUUGCACAGCGCUUCUUGAACAACUGUCGUCAAAAGAAGGAAAAUCUACCCGGCUGUGACGGAGUGCUCUCUGCAACAGAAACAAAUGAUGCUGAAGAGUGCAUAUUACGCCUGAUCCAACAAGAAACCUACGCCGAUGAGAUAUCAGCCCUUAAGAAACAAAAGGCUGUACCGAAAACCAGCACAUUGGUGAAGCUUAGCCCAUGGCUGGACGAUCGUGGGAUACUCAGAAUGCUGGGACGAACGUCAAGUUGCCUGUUCAUUACCAAGGAUGCGAAAAACCCAAUAAUUCUACCCCGCGACCAUCAUGUUACUUCUCUGGUUAUCUCCUUCUACCAUAACAAGUUCCACCAUCUCAACCAUGAGACUGUUGUAAACGAGUUGCGACAGAAGUACUGGAUCCCACGUGUUCGAGUCUGCUAUUCUAAGGUCCGCAAAAACUGUCAGCGAUGCAAAAAUGAACGAGCGAUUCCGCAUCCUCCGAUAAUGGCAGACCUUCCGCCUGCAAGAUUGGCAGCAUUUACAAGGCCAUUUACUCACGUGGGUAUAGAUUACUUCGGACCUAUAGAAGUGGCGAUUGGUAGAAGAGUAGAAAAACGCUGGGGUAUGCUUGCCACUUGUAUGACAACGCGCGCCGUGCACAUUGAAAUCGCCCACUCUCUAAGCACUAGCUCAUGUGUAAUGGCCAUCCGAAACAUGAUCGCUCGUCGCGGGAUUCCCCGCCAAAUAUAUUGUGAUCGUGGAACUAAUUUUGUUGGAGCUAGUCGUGAGUUGGCUCGUAUAGCGAAGGAUUUGAAUCAUGAAGCUAUUAUGAGUGAGAUCGUUAGUCCCGAUACACAGUGGUCGUUUAAUCCACCUUCCUCACCACAUAUGGGCGGGAGCUGGGAACGACUAAUACGCAGCGUCAAGGAUAAUCUUGCAUCUCUGAACCUUCCACGAAAGCCGUCUGACGAAGUACUUCGAAACGCAUUUGCCGAGAUUGAGAACACUUUGAAUGCAAGGCCUCUGACUCAUGUCGCUAUCGAGGACCACGCGGCUCCAGCUCUGACUCCAAACCACAUUCUCCUUGGAAGUUCUAGUGGAACGAAACCACUGACUACAUUAGAUGAUAGCAGCGUAGCCGUACGCCAGUGUUGGAGAGCAUCACAGCUUAUAGCUAACCAGUUCUGGAAGAGAUGGUUGACAGAUUAUCUUCCAGAAAUUACCAGGAGAACCAAGUGGCACUCCCCUUGUUCACGCCCUUUGAAAGUUGGCGAUAUAGUCAUCAUUACGGAUCCUAAGCUGCCACGGAACUGUUGGCCGAGAGGAAAAAUUAUCUCGACGCGUCCUAGUAAGGAUGGGGAAGUCAGAUCAGCUACAGUACGGACAUCUAGUGGUGUAUACGAGCGCCCAGUGGUCAAGCUGGCGGUGCUGGACAUCAUGCGCGAAGAGGAGUAAGUCUUCCAGCUGUGCGACGUACCUGGGGGGAGUGUUGGCAACCCGGCUGCCAGCGCGCAUCUACUAUCUGCAACCUCUAGCUACACACACCUACAAGAGGGAUUUGGAGCAGGUGACAGCUCCAACGAUGAGUAUGAUUAUUGCCGUAAGUAGGGAAAAAAUCCAAAACACAAAUACGAUAUACACGUUGUUCUGAAUUCUAUAAUUUCAAAAUCAGAUAAAAACCUGUUAUUUUCAUUUUCACAGUGUCUGUAGCUUAAUAAGGUACCUGGACAGUGAAGUGAAUUUCGUCUUUCUAACCAUAAAUUCCCAACCUUUGCAAACUCUACAACUACGGUAAGCAAUGAAGCAUUGAAUUUCUAGCAUCAAAUAUUUAUUGGAAUUACAUCAUUAAUUAGGUAUUCGGCCUACGAAUUCGCUGAAGACAGGCCAGCACACUUAGGGGACUAAACGUAAGUCUGAUCAUAUUAAAUAUAAAAUAGCAUUUAUAUCAUAUUGCCAUUGCAUAACUUGAAGCCUGUACACCUUAUAAUCUGUCCACACGUAAACCGAUUUUGUUGUACACCUUAUUUCCAAUAGGAGAAUUAUAAUCUGCCGCUGAAAUACACCCAGUUACCGUGUUUAAUUUGCGGUGAUUAUAGUCACGGAAAUCUCCCCAUCAGUUCCGUUGGCACAGCUGCCAACAC